CCCGCCUCAGCCUCCCAAAAUGUUGGGAUUACAGGUGUGAGCCACCGUGCCCAGCCUCAGCUAUCACUUUUAAAGAGAUUUUUGGUGAAUUCAUCUUUCUCCAACUUGUUACAUAAAUACAGGCCCUGAUCUGAAAUCUAAUGUAAGCUUUUCUCUGUGAUGUUGACAGUUCCUGUUUUGUGUUGCCAGAAGGAAAAGUGGGUUUGCCUGGGCAGUAUCAGGUCCUUCCACAGAAAGCGGCUUACAGUACUUCGGGCUCCAACUUGAAUUCUCUUAAACAAGGAAAUGUACGAGCUCAACAUCGUAAGAACUCUGAGAAUGAGGAGGCUCUGGGUUGGCUGAUUCAGCAGCUCAGUUAACUCACUAAGGACUCAUAUUUUCCCAUCUUCACGCUGACAUCUUUAAUGAGGACACUGAGGCACAGGAAGUCAAGAAACCUGCACAAAGCCAUGCAACAACCAGCCAGUAUCUGAGUCAUGACCAAAGCCCAGAGCCCAGUCUGCCUUCUUGUCUGAGGUCCUUUCGACAGCCUGCAUUGCUUAUCUUCUAGGACAAUCUGGCCCUAGGGAAGGAGGCCACCUGGACAGCACCAUGGCGACACAGAGGGCACCAGAUAUGGGAAAGUUUCUCUCUGAGACCAUGUUUGCUUCUGUUUCUCAAGCCAAGUUAAUUCUCUCCUAGAACAACGCCAGUUAGAAAUGGGGGAAGCUACUGAAAUACCUUUGGUGGCUUGUCUUGCAUCGAUAUUAUUUUCUCCCACUGAGGAGUUAGAGGGUUUCUGGUUAUGUGCUAUGUAAAUUCUUUGGCUCAUUCUUUUUUUUCCAUCCUUCCCUCCAUGGUCCAUCAGGAAAAUCAUGGUUAAAUGAGUGAGUAAAAGCUUAUGAUUUGCCCGUCCACGUCCCAACUUCCUUCUUCCUUUAGACCUUUUUGUGUGACAUGUAUUUUCUUUGACCCUGAUUUUUUAUUUAUAGCUUCUACUUUAUUGAAAGCACUCUUGUA
rnacentral:lncRNA from 10 species